AUUGAACGCUGGCGGCAGGCCUAACACAUGCAAGUCGAACGCCCCGCAAGGGGAGUGGCAGACGGGUGAGUAACGCGUGGGAAUCUACCCAGAUCUACGGAACAACAGUUGGAAACGACUGCUAAUACCGUAUACGCCCUACGGGGGAAAGAUUUAUCGGAUUUGGAUGAGCCCGCGUUGGAUUAGCUAGUUGGUGGGGUAAUGGCCUACCAAGGCGACGAUCCAUAGCUGGUCUGAGAGGAUGAUCAGCCACACUGGGACUGAGACACGGCCCAGACUCCUACGGGAGGCAGCAGUGGGGAAUAUUGGACAAUGGGCGCAAGCCUGAUCCAGCCAUGCCGCGUGAGUGAUGAAGGCCUUAGGGUUGUAAAGCUCUUUCACCGAUGAAGAUAAUGACGGUAGUCGGAGAAGAAGCCCCGGCUAACUUCGUGCCAGCCGCCGCUGUAAGAC
rnacentral:rRNA from 1 species